rnacentral:rRNA from 1 species
GCGCUUAACACAUGCAAGUCGGACGAGAAAGUGGGGGCAACUCCAUGAGUACAGUGGCGUACGGGUGAGUAACACGUGGGGAUCUACCUUUUGGUGGGGGGUAACUCUGGGAAACCGGAGCUAAUACCGCAUAAGCAGGGGACUGGAAAGCCGGGAACGGCGCCGGAAGAGGAGCCCGCGGCCGAUUAGCCAGUUGGUGAGGUAACGGCUCACCAAAGCAGAGAUCGGUAGCCGGCCUGAGAGGGCACACGGCCACACUGGCACUGAAACACGGGCCAG